rnacentral:ncRNA from 1 species
UAACUCCCAAUAACAAUUAACGCACAUUUAAGUAAUAAUUAAGCGUAAAAUUGUAUAUUUGGACAUUAAAUGCUAAAAAUGCAAAAGAUACCUAUUUUUUGUAAUUUUCAUUUUUAUAAAACAAACUUAAUUACCAACAAUUGUAGAAUUAAAUUCUACAUGCAAAAUGCGACAUAUUUUUGUAUUUUUAUUAAUUUAACAAAUAAACAUGCACAGAUAAAUACAAAUAAUUAUUCAAAAAUAUCACAAAAUUGCACACCAAGGAAAAUCAUUUUAUUUUGAAUUUUUUGGGAGUAAUUCUUUCAUAGGGCAAAAAUCACGUGCUUACAGUCUCAACCAUAAAUGAUGCAGACCAGAGACCGACAGAUGUUGCUUUAACGACUCCGCGGGCACCUUAUCAAAAAUCAAAGUUUUUGGGUUCUGAGGGAAGUAUGGUCGCAAGGCUGAAACAUAAAGGAAUUAACCGAAAGGCAGCACCAGGAGUGGAGCCUGCGGCUUAAUUUGACUCAACAUGAGAAAACUUACCAGGUCCAGACAUAGUAAGGAUUGAUAGACUAAGAGCUCUUUCUUGAUUCUAUGGGUGGUGGUGCAUUGGUUGUUCUUAGUUGGUGGAACGAUUUAUCUGGUUAAUUCAGUUAACGAAUGAGACCUCAGUCUUCUAAUUAGCUAUGCGGAGGUAUCCCUUUGCAGCCAGCUUCUUAGAGGGACUACGGUCUUUUAGGCCGCAAAAGUUUGAGGCAAUAAUAGGUCUGUGAUGCCCUUAGAUGUUCUGGGCCGCACAUGCGCUACACUGAUGUAUUCAACGAGUUUAUAGCCUUGGCCAACAGGCCCGACUAAUCUUUGAAAUUUCAUCGUGAUGGGGAUAAAUCAUUGUAAUUGUUAGUCUUCAACGAGGAAUUCCUAGUAUGCGCGAGUCAUCAGUCCGCAUUGACUAUGUCCCUACCCUUUGUACACAUCACCCGUCGCUCCUACCGAUUGAAUGAUCCAGUGAAAUAUUCAGAUCGCAGCGACGUGGGCGGUUCGCUUCCUGCGACGUCGCGAGAAGUCUAUUGAACCUUAUCAUUUAGAAGAAGGAGAAGUUGUAACAAGGUUUUCGUAGGUGAACCUGUGGAAGGAUCAUUG